rnacentral:lncRNA from 1 species
CCAUAUAACUCCUUUAAGUUCAUUUUGGGGCCAUUUCUCACCAUUUAAGCCCAUUUUGGGUCCAUUUCCCCCCAUUUAGGCCCAUUUUGGGGCCAUAUAACCCCAUUUAGGGCCAUAUAACCCCUUUUAGGGCCAUUUUGGGGUCAAUUCCCCCCAUUUAGGGCCAUUUUGGGCUAAUUUAAGCCCAUUUUGGGGUCAAUUCCCUCCAUUUAGGGCCAUUUUGGGCCCAUUUGGGGCCAUUUUGGGCCCAUUUAAGCCCAUUUUGGGGCCAUUUCUCCCCAUUUAGGGCCAUUUUGGGCCCAUAUAAACCCAUUUUAAUCCCCUUUUCGGGCCAUUUGACCCUAUAUAUACAUACACUCCCCCCUGCGCCACGCCCCCAAAGUCUCCGGCUAAAUACGGCAAGGGGGGGGGGGGGACAGCAA